rnacentral:misc_RNA from 1 species
GGGUUUAUUGUGAGAAUCUGAAGAUGUGAAAUUGUGGAGAAAGUAGAUUCCUGGCGAAUUACGAGAGUAACGACGGUGAUGGAAGAAUCUCUGAACGGACAUGAUGGGGUGGUGGUUGGUAUCGGCGGACAGCAGGUUACAAUGAAACUAGGAUUAACCUAACAACUAAAUACCCAGCUUCCUUUUGGGACUUCAGAAAAGUUGCUUAAAACUUCAAACAUAGUGCCAUCGUCUUUUCCAUUUAGAAAGCUGAUUUUUCUUUCUGAUUUUCUAUUAUUUCUGAGGGCUGCUUGGAAGUCACCUGAGCGCCACUCGAAACCUCGACUGGCAAUGGAGUUGUGUGAUCGUGUAGUGUUGUGAAAUGAGUUUGUGUUUUGCGUUUGCAGUUUGUUUGGAAUUCUG